UACGUAGGGGGCAAGCGUUGUCCGGAAUUAUUGGGCGUAAAGCGCGCGCAGGCGGUCAUGUAAGUCUGGUGUUUAAGCCCGGGGCUCAACCCCGGAUCGCACGGGAAACUGGAUGACUUGAGUGCAGAAGAGGAGAGUGGAAUUCCACGUGUAGCGGUGAAAUGCGUAGAGAUGUGGAGGAACACCAGUGGCGAAGGCGACUCUCUGGCCCAACAUUGACACUGAGGCCCGAAAGCGUGGGGAUCAAACAGG
rnacentral:rRNA from 1 species